AGCAGCCGCGGUAAUUCCAGCUCCAAUAGCGUAUAUUAAAGUUGUUGCAGUUAAAAAGCUCGUAGUUGAAUUUCGGGGUCAGUAGGUUGGUCGUGCCACUGGUACGUACUGGUCUCACUGAUUCCUCCUUCCUGAGGAACCGUAAUGCCAUUAAUUUGGUGUUGCGGGGAAACAGGACUGUUACUUUGAAAAAUUAGAGUGUUUAAAGCAGGCUAACGCUUGAAUACAUUAGCAUGGAAUAAUGAAAUAGGACGAUCGAUCCUAUUUUGUUGGUUUCUAGGAUUGACGUAAUGAUUAAUAGGGAUAGUUGGGGGCAUUAGUAUUCAAUUGUCAGAGGUGAAAUUCUUGGAUUUAUUGAAGACUAACUACUGCGAAAGCAUUUGCCAAGGAUGUUUUCAUUAAUCAAGAACGAAAGUUAGGGGAUCGAAGACGAUCAGAUACCGUCGUAGUCUUAACCAUAAACUAUGCCGACUAGGGAUCGGAUGAUGUUAAUUUUAUAAUGACUCAUUCGGCGCCUUAA
rnacentral:rRNA from 1 species